AGCCUGGUGAGGGGCGGUGAGCUCCCCAGGGACCACGCUGUGCCAUGCUCAGCAAUGAAGAGCUGCUGCCAGCAUAGCGCUGGAGAUGUUUUGCUGUUUCGGUCGGUCUCAUGGUGGCUGUGGAGCCAGCCUGUAGCUGUACUUUGCUUUCCGUGUGCUUUCUUUCGCAAGCUCUGAAAGUAGAAACUUGCAGAAACAGCUGGAGCUGCUGGGUGAGAAGAAACCCAUAUCAGGAACUGAUUUGAAUGGGAGUAACAAAAAGUUGCUGACCGGGAGGUCAGGGCUAAGUAUUACUUCAUAGAGCACUUGUAGAAGACAUCCCCUUCCAUGGAAUUUGUGCUUGGCUGACGAAUUUGUGACGUCUUCGCACAAGGGCUCAUGGAAAGAUGCCCCCGAUCCAAGGUGCCACCAGUUCCUGGGAGAGCAUCCCAUCCGUGCUGCUGUCUGUGAACCCACCCUCAGGACACCGCGGCAUGAGUCUGAAUCUCAGUGAUUCACACGGAGAUGAGAUUUAUUGGAGGCCCGAAUGCCCAGUUCUAUGUGCGUUAUUUCCAUUGGCUUGAGAGCAGAUUGAAAACUGGAGAACUGGACAUUUGCAUAGUCCAAGAAAUGAACUAGCACUGGAUUAUUUUUUUCCCCCCUCCGAGUUAUGCUGACAGCAGCCAUAACAUUAAGGCUGAAAAGUUUAUUUACUAUGUAAAGACCAUAUUUUCCCUUCUUAUCCCAGCUUUUCUUGGCUUGCAUUGCUUGGCGGUAUCCACUUAACCACUAACACCCAGAGGCGUGGUAUUAAGCUGGGAUGAAAAAUGAACAUGCAGAAGAAUAUUGGAGAAUUAAGUGGGUAUGGUUCUAAGAAAUCCAGUGGAAAAUAUGUUUACUCCAAGCAUCUGUAGCACCUAAUUGAAGCAAUGAUAUUUUCUGUAGCACCUAAUUGAAGCAGUGAUAUUUUCUGUAAGAACAUAGGGAAUGCUUUUCUGCUUUCUCUUUGGAUUUGAGUUUUGCUUGGAAUCGAUGUGACAUAAUCCAUGGAAUUGUUUUUUUACAGCUGCAUGGGAAACUUUCUGCCAAUAGACAAGGAAGUGUUAAUCAGGGUGAAAAAGCUUACAUUCAUUCAAGCUUUGCUGGUUUCUUGACUCUUUGUUAGGAACUGUUGCUUCCUCCUAAUUUACUGAAAUCUCGUAUUCAGUAAACACUAUUAUUUUUGAGCUAUUAAUGUUGCUAUAAAUUUGAAUGGCUAGAAGAAGGUGGCAGGAUGUGAUUAAAAGGGAGCUGAUCU